rnacentral:rRNA from 1 species
GAUGAACGCUGGCGGCGUGCCUAAUACAUGCAAGUCGAGCGAACAGACGAGGAGCUUGCUCCUCUGACGUUAGCGGCGGACGGGUGAGUAACACGUGGAUAACCUACCUAUAAGACUGGGAUAACUUCGGGAAACCGGAGCUAAUACCGGAUAAUAUAUUGAACCGCAUGGUUCAAUAGUGAAAGACGGUUUUGCUGUCACUUAUAGAUGGAUCCGCGCCGCAUUAGCUAGUUGGUAAGGUAACGGCUUACCAAGGCAACGAUGCGUAGCCGACCUGAGAGAGUGGUAGGCAGCAUGGGAUGGGGAACCGAGCCAAGCCUCGUACGGGAGGGGCCAGAAGGGAAUUUUCGGCAGUGGGGGGGAACAUAACGGAACGCCGCGGCGGGAGGAGUAAAGAUGUCGGGUACGAAAAACUUUAUUUUGGGGAGAAAACAAAGGUUGAGGUACCUAAGCCGUGAUGCACGGUCACUAGUAAAAAAGCCCCGGCUAACUACGGG